AUGUUAACCGAAGAUGAGUUCGAGACGACAUGGGGUAUGUUGCUGGAUAAGUACAAUUUGCGAAAGCACGCAUAUAUGACACAGAUUUAUGAGAUUCGAACAAAGUGGGCAAAACCAUACUUUAGAGGUGUUUUCUGUGCCAAGAUGACCAACAAACAACGGAGCGAGAGUGCCAAUCACAUGUUGAAGACAUACAUGCCCCCAGCGAGCCCCAUGCAUGUGUUUGUCAGGCAGUAUAUGAGACUGCAAUUUGACAGGGAGCGUGAAGAGAGCUACGAGGAGAAAAGAACUAUGAUUGGAGGUGCAGUGAGAAGAACAAAUUUGGCUAUAGAGAGGCACGCCAGUAAAAUAUACACCCGAUCUAUGUUUGACGAGUUUGGGACAUUUCUGAUGGAAGCCACAACAUAUAACAUAACGGAGAUAGAGAAGAUGAAGAAGUAUGUGGCAACCCAUAAUAAUGCGGCAAAGAGAGAGAGAUGGAGCAGAGUUGUUUAUGAGGUUACUGUCGUGGAUGAUCAAAAGGAGUUUACUUGUGAGUGUGGUCAAUUCGAACACACUGGUUUGUUGUGCAACCACAUUCUAAGGUAA
rnacentral:rRNA from 1 species